rnacentral:rRNA from 1 species
AGAGUUUGAUCCUGGCUCAGGAUGAACGCUAGCGGCAGGCUUAACACAUGCAAGUCGAGGGGCAGCGAGGGUAGCAAUACCUGUCGGCGACCGGCGCAAGGGGGGUGCGUAACGCGUGAGCAACAUGCCCGUAUCAGGGGGAUAAUCCAGGGAAACUUGGUCUAAUACCCCAUAGUAAUAUUUUCAGGCAUCUGGGGAUAUUUAAAGCUUUGGUGGAUACGGAUUGGCUCGCGUGACAUUAGCUGGAUGGUAGGGUAACGGCCUACCAUGGCUACGAUGUCUAGGGGUUCUGAGAGGAAGAUCCCCCACACUGGAACUGAGACACGGUCCAGACUCCUACGGGAGGCAGCAGUGAGGAAUAUUGGACAAUGGGCGAAAGCCUGAACCAGCCAAGUCGCGUGAAGGAAGAAGGUUCUAUGGAUUGUAAACUUCUUUUGCAUGGGAAUAAAGUGAGCUACGAGUAGGCCGAUGAGAGUACCGUAGGAAUAAGCAUCGGCUAACUCCGUGCCAGCAGCCGCGGUAAUACGGAGGAUGCAAGCGUUAUCCGGAUUUAUUGGGCUUAAAGGGUGCGUAGGCGGUUUAUUAAGUCAGCGGUGAAAGUUUUCAGCUUAACUGGAAAAAUGCCGUUGAUACUGUUUUUCUUGAGUAUAGUUGAAGUGGGUGGAAUUCCAUGUGUAGCGGUAAAAUGCGUAGAUAUAUGGAGGAACACCAGUGGCGAAGGCGGUUGCCUGGCCUGUAACUGACGCUGAGGCACGAAAGCGUGGGGAGCAAAUAGGAUUAGAUACCCUAGUAGUCCACGCUGUAAACGAUGAAUACUAAGUGUUGGAGAAAUUCAGUGCUGCAGUUAACGCAAUAAGUAUUCCGCCUGGGGAGUAUGCACGCAAGUGUGAAACUCAAAGGAAUUGACGGGACCCCGCACAAGCGGUGGAUUAUGUUGUUUAAUUCGACGCAACGCGAAGAACCUUACCAGGCCUUGACAUACUCGGCAAAGCUCUAGAGAUAGAGUGGAGGUUAUCCGGGAUACAGGUGGUGCAUGGUUGUCGUCAGCUCGUGUCGUGAGAUGUUGGGUUAAGUCCCGCAACGAGCGCAACCCUUGUCUUUAGUUGCCAUCAUUAAGUUGGGCACUCUAAAGAGACUGCCGGUGACAAACCGGAGGAAGGUGGGGAUGACGUCAAAUCAUCAUGCCCCUUAUGACCUGGGCUACACACGUGCUACAAUGGCCGGUACAGACGGAAGCGAAGCCGCAAGGUGGAGCGGAUCUGAGAAAAGUAGUCCCAGUUCGGAUCGUGGGCUGCAACCCGCCCACGUGAAGUCGGAGUUGCUAGUAAUCGCGGAUCAGCAUGCCGCGGUGAAUACGUUCCCGGGCCUUGUACACACCGCCCGUCACACCAUGGGAGUUGGGAGCACCCAAAGCCAGCGAGGUAACCGCAAGGAGCCAGCUGUCCAAGGUGAGACCAAUGACUGGGGUGAAGUCGUAACAAGGUAACC